rnacentral:rRNA from 1 species
AUACGUAGGUGACAAGCGUUAUCCGGAUUUACUGGGCGUAAAGGGCGUGUAGGCGGUCUUGCAAGUCAGAAGUGAAAUUCCUGAGCUCAACUCGGGCGCUGCUUCUGAAACUGCAGGACUUGAGUGCUGGAGGGGAUAGCGGAAUUCCUAGUGGAGCGGUAAAAUGCGCAGAUAUUAGGAAGAACACCGGUGGCGAAGGCGGCUAUCUGGACAGUAACUGACGCUGAGGCGCGAAAGCGUGGGGAGCAAACAGGAUUAGAUACCCUGGUAGUCCACGCCAUAAACGAUGAAUACUAGGUGUAGGGGGUAUCGACUCCCUCUGUGCCGCAGUUAACACAAUAAGUAUUCCGCCUGGGGAGUACGGCCGCAAGGUUGAAACUCAAAUGAAUUGGCGGGG